UAAGGGUUCUAAGGAGGUGCUUGGUCGAUUUGUUCAUACAGAGAGAGUGAGGAGGAUAGCUGCCGUCGUUGCCAUUUAUGCCGCCAGAAACAGCUGCCUUCGGUUGUUUGUAAAUCGUUGGAGAGAGAGAGAGAGAGAGAGAGAGAGAGAGAGAGAGAGAGAGAGAGAGAGAGAGAGAGAGAGAGAGAGAGAGAGAGAGAGAGAGAGCGAGAGAGAGAGAAGGAAGGAAGGAAGGAGUGAAGCGACAGAGGAUUGUUUGGGAACAUUGAAGAAUCCCUUGUGGUGUUACCUUGGCUGGAAUAGAGUGAGAAUCGAGGGCUGCCACCGCUGGUAACCACCGUGCACCGCCAGAAACCGGCCGCCAGAUAUGGGAGGAGGGGAGGAUAGGAAUGGUUUGUCAUUUGGUACACUUUGUGGUUCUAUCUUCUCAUUCACUCGAUAAAAGAGUAUUUAUACAUCAAUAGAUCCAAACAGAUAGAUAGGACAUGCUAGAUUCAUACUGAGGGCUCAUGAACAUUCCAAAUACAAGUUGGGGGUCGGGUAGGACAUGUCAGACUCGUACUGAGGGUUUGAUGGAAUUCAGUCCAAGGACUAAUCUAGUCGUGGAGCAAGUCAAACAUAAGUUGUGGGCUCCGAGGACAAGCUAGACUUAUGUUGUGGGCUCACAGUAAUUCAGAUGACCGUGGGAAGGCGAAGGCGUGACCGACUGACCGUAUACAUUCUCAUGUUUUGGACUUAUGAUUUUUGGAACUCUGAUGUUGAAAUGCUUUUGAAAUUAUGUUUGUAAACAAUUUAUGAAGUUG